GACAUGACUCGGCAAUGGAUAUCUCGGCUCUCGAAUCGAUGAAGAGCGCAGCGAAAUGCGAUACUU
rnacentral:rRNA from 1 species